GUUUCCCUGCUGCUGCAGCCCCCGUCGGCUCCUCUUUUCCAGUCCUCCCUGCCGGGGCUGGGCCCGGCCGCGGGAAGGACCGAAGGGGAUACAGCGUGUCCCUACGGCGGCUGCAAGAGGACUAAGCAUGGAUGGCAGCCGGAGAGUCAGAGCAACCUCUGUCCUUCCCAGAUAUGGUCCACCGUGCCUAUUUAAAGGACACUUGAGCACCAAAAGUAAUGCUUUUUGCACUGACUCCUCUUCUCUCAGACUAAGCACUCUCCAGCUGGUCAAGAAUCACAUGGCUGUUCACUAUAAUAAAAUCCUUUCAGCCAAAGCUGCAGUAGACUGCUCAGUUCCAGUAAGCAUGAGUACCAGCAUAAAGUAUGCAGACCAACAACGAAGAGAGAAACUCAAAAAGGAAUUAGCACGAUGUGAAAAAGAGUUCAAAUUAACUAAAACUGCAAUGCGAGCCAAUUAUAAAAAUAAUUCCAAGUCACUUUUUAAUACCUUACAAAAGCCCUCAGGCGAACCGCAAAUUGAGGAUGACAUGUUAAAAGAAGAAAUGAAUGGAUUUUCAUCCUUUGCAAGGUCACUAGUACCCUCUUCAGAGAGACUACACCUAAGUCUACAUAAAUCCAAUAAAGUCAUCACAAAUGGUCCUGAGAAGAACUCCAGUUCCUCCCCGUCCAGCGUGGAUUAUGCAGCCUCCGGGCCCCGGAAACUGGGCUCUGGAGCCCUGUAUGGCAGAAGGCCCAGAAGCACAUCCCCAAAUUCCCACCGGUUUCAGUUAGUCAUUUCGAAAGCACCCAGUGGGGAUCUUUUGGAUAAACAUUCUGAACUCUUUUCUAACAAACAAUUGCCAUUCACUCCUCGCACUUUAAAAACAGAAGCAAAAUCUUUCCUGUCACAGUAUCGCUAUUAUACACCUGCCAAAAGAAAAAAGGAUUUUACAGAUCAACGGAUAGAAGCUGAAACCCAGACUGAAUUAAGCUUUAAAUCUGAGUUGGGGACAGCUGAGACUAAAAACAUGACAGAUUCAGAAAUGAACAUAAAGCAGGUAAUAAGUAUGAAAUCUUUUGGUAUUGCUACAUUUGAAUUACAGAUGUUUUUCUGUAAAUAGAAUAUGUACAGCUAUUUAGACUGUGAAGAAUAAUCUGUUGGUGGCACUUAUCAUACAUGAUAUAGCCAGUAUACAGAAGAUCUGCCUAUUUACAAAUGGUUAUAGCUCUCUCUGAAUGGCCAGGUGGAUCCUGCCAAAUCUGGGAAGUCAUUUGUUACUAACAUCUUUCCUAGAUGAUUGGUUGGCUGGCUGGACAGAUGGAAGGAUCAGUAAAAUACCUUAAGUAUUGUUUUCAAAGAUGCAGACCUGGAUUACUAGAGGAGCCAGCAGAGUAGUGCAGAAGUUGAGUUUUUAUACCUUUUUUUUUUUUGUAAAGAAUUGCCACAUAUUAUAUAAUUGGAAAUUAUACAUUUUAUAAGAAUAAGUAGCUGUUAUUCUCUUAUGUUUGCCUCUGCUUUUUCUAGACCAUAAAGCUGUUUAUUACAGGGUUUAUAUUUUGAAUUCUUAGCAUCAUUUCUUUUAAAAUAUUGCAACUUUGAGUCUGAUUUUGAGAUAAAUUGUUUUAUUUUUGGAGUGUCAGUCUUGCACUUGUGUCCUGACUUAAAUUUGUUGCUUAUAAAAAUGGUUUGUCUAUUAAAAUGUCAAACACAGAUCCAGAGAUAGAAGAAUAAAAUAUAAUCAUACUCAACUUCCCCCUUCCCUUCUGAAAAUGGGUAGAAGGUGGUAGUUUUCCAUCUCAGCUAUUAAUCGCUGUUUGACAUAGGGCCCUGCCACUUAAGGCCCAAGGACAAAUCACUUAUCCUCUGAGAGCUGAAUUUCCUCAUCUAGAAAAACUGUACUUAACUUGCAGGAUUAUUAGGAGGAGUAAAUGAUGUAGGCAAAGUGCCUAGCCUGGUAAGGGCUUAAUAAAUGAUAGCUAUUACUAGCUUGAAAUUUUUGGAAAGAGUUAGCUUUGCAGAUAACUACAUAAACAUGAAAAAAUAUUUAUUUACAAUCCUGCAAGAAAAUGUGUGUCCCCAUAUUCCAUAGAUAGUGCCAUCAGUACUUGACUUGAAGAAGCCAGUAGAGUAUUAACUGCAGUAGAUCCAUAUUUUAACAGCACCUUUAAAACUGUAAAGCACUAUACAUAAAUUGUCAUUGUAAAGAUUGAAUCUAAUGAUGUGAGUAAAUGCUUGGCACAGUUUGUGGUGCAUAGUAAGGAGUCUAUAAAAGUAAGCUGCCAUUAUUUUUGUUUGUUAAUAUUAUUGUUCAUGCUGCCAGCGCUACCACUGCUUCUACAUAUUUGACAUGUUGGCAUUUAAAACAGAUGAGCUAUUUGAAUUUCUGAAUAAUGAGAUUUUGUUCCCUCAAACUUACUUAAAAGUUGAAAAUUUGCUUCAUUUUUCCCUUUAUAUGUUUAUUUGUGGCAAUUUCUUAAUGUCAUUUAAAUGCCACUCAUUAAAAUACAAGAAAUAAGUCAUUUUAUCUUUAAGUUUAAGAAAAAAGUGCUGGAUGGAUAGAAAAAGUAUUCUAAAAUAUUCUUUGUUGUACUGUAUAAUUUUUAUCUACUGGAUAUCUCUGUUCAAUCACUUAAAAUUUGCUGUGUUAUAUUCUGCUUUCGUAAUGUAUUUUUAAGCAAAAAUAAAGAUUUUUUUAUUGCAUCCCCAGGCAUCUAAUUGUGUGACAUAUGCUGCCAAAGAAAAAAUAGCUCCUUUACCUUUAGAAGGGCAUGACUCAACAUGGGAUGAGAUUAAGGAUGAUGCUCUUCAGCAUUCCUCACCAAGGGCAAUGUGUCGGUAUUCCCUGAAGUCCCCUUCAACUCGUAAAAUCUACUCUGAUGAAGAAGAACUGUUGUAUCUGAGUUUCAUUGAAGAUGUAACAGAUGAAAUUUUGAAACUUGGUUUAUUUUCAAACAGGUUUUUAGAACGACUGUUCGAGCGACAUAUAAAACAAAAUAAACAUUUGGAGGAGGAAAAAAUGCGCCACCUGCUGCAUGUCCUGAAAGUAGACUUAGGCUGCACAUCGGAGGAAAACUCGGUAAAGCAAAAUGUUGUUGAUAUGUUGAAUGUAUUUGAUUUUGAAAAGCCUGGGAAUUCAGAACCAAAUGAAUUAAAAAAUGAAAGUGAAGUAACAAUUCAGCAGGAACGUCAACAAUACCAAAAGGCUUUGGAUAUGUUAUUGUCGGCACCAAAGGAUGAGAACGAGAUAUUCCCUUCACCAACUGAAUUUUUCAUGCCUAUUUAUAAAUCAAAGCAUUCAGAAGGGGUUAUGAUUCAACAGGUGAAUGAUGAAACAAAUCUUGAAACUUCAACUUUGGAUGAAAAUCAUCCAAGUAUUUCAGACAGUUUAACAGAUCAGGAAACUUCUGUGAAUGUCAUUGAAGGUGAUAGUGACCCUGAAAAGGUUGAGAUUUCAAAUGGAUUAUGUGGUCUUAACACAUCACUCUCCCAAUCUGUUCAGUUCUCCAGUGUCAAAGGCGACAAUAAUCAUGACAUGGAGUUAUCAACUCUUAAAAUCAUGGAAAUGAGCAUUGAGGACUGCCCUUUGGAUGUUUAAUCUUCAUUAAUAAAUACCUCAAAUGGCCAGU
rnacentral:sRNA from 1 species